rnacentral:rRNA from 1 species
UACAGAGGUCUCAAGCGUUGUUCGGAUUCAUUGGGCGUAAAGGGUGUGUAGGUGGCGCGCUAAGUCGGGUGUGAAAUUUCGGAGCUUAACUCCGAAACUGCAUUCGAUACUGGCGUGCUUGAGGACUGGAGAGGAGACUGGAAUUCAUGGUGUAGCAGUGAAGUGCGUAGAGAUCAUGAGGAAGACCAGUGGCGAAGGCGGGUCUCUGGACAGUUCCUGACACUGAGACACGAAGGCCAGGGGAGCAAACGGG